GAUGAAGAACGCAGCGAAAUGCGAUAAUUAAUGUGAAUUGCAGAAUUCCGUGAAUCAUCGAAUCUUUGAACGCACAUUGCGCCCUGUGGUAUUCCGCAGGGCAUGCCUGUUCGAGCGUCAUUUCAACCCUCAAGCCCCGCUUGGUGUUGGGCCCCGCCCGCUGUGGCCGGCCCUAAAGACAGUGGCGGCGCCGCCUGGCCCUCAGCGUAGUACAUCUCUCGCUCCAGGGUCCGGUGGCCGCCUGCCAGAACCCCCCAACUCUGUGGUUGACCUCGGAUCAGGUAGGGAUACCCGCUGAACUUAAGCAUAUCAAUAAGCGGAGGA
rnacentral:misc_RNA from 1 species